ACAAUUUGGUGAUAGCUUAAGUUUUGUUUCAAAAAGAUAACAGGAUCAAAGGUUAGGGAAAAACAGGUAAAGAGGCAUAUGCUUAAGUAAACAUCUCAUUUUGUUUCUUUGUGUUCUAUUCAGCUUAACAAAAUCGGGAAGAGCACAAGGACUUCAAGCAAAGACUGGUACAAGAAUUAUUCUUUGACUAGAGAGGCAGCUACUUAAAUGUCUUAAAAGCAUGGAAAACACUCACUUAAUUUUGUCCUAUUCAUCCUCAAUACUAAAAGAAUAAAACAGUUGUUAAUUUUGUGGGUCAGAAGAUUCUAGAACAUGAAAAGGAUCACAUUUUUAUCUGGUUCACCAGAACUUAAUACCAACAACAAAGCGCAAUCACGUUAAGAGUAAUCAACGUGAAUGUAACAGACAGCUUCAGAGACUGGGAAGUGACAGCCAGUUACAAACUUACAAUUUACCCUAGAAAGGAAUCCAGAGUUUGAUUUAUUUUCUGUUUUUUGUGGGGUUUUUUUUUUUGAAAUAUAGUCAGUUUAGCCUUGAAGAAUUCUAUAUAGCAAAAAUGGUGGGAAUCUGAAGUUAGCCUUAUCGUAGGCUGAAACGCUUUAUUCUGCCCAUAUCCUUGCACUAUGUAACUUUUUACAACUUGAGAGAAUUUAUUAUGUGGACAUUAUCAGUGUUGCUCUGAGAAGAAGUUUACUAUGACUGUUUGAGAGGAGAUACCACAACUGAUGACAAAUGACUAGAAAGAAGAUUUUAAUCUACUUUAUUUGUAUCUUAUAUACCUUUCAGAGAUGGCUCCAUGAAUAAAACUGCAGGUAAGCUAAUGGAAUUUUUUUGGUGAUUCUUCAGAUUUAUUGAAUUUUUUAAAGAAAAAGACAUGAAAGAAAAAUAUAGUUAUAGAUAGCUGAUUACUCUGUUUUAUAAUGAUGUUUCCAAGUACUACAUU
rnacentral:lncRNA from 1 species